rnacentral:rRNA from 1 species
CCUACGGGAGGCAGCAGUGGGGAAUAUUGCACACUGGGCGAAAGCCUGAUGCAGCAACGCCGCGUGAAGGAAGACGGUUUUCGGAUUGUACACUUCUGUUCUUAGUGAAGAAAACUGACGGUAACUAAGGAGCAAGCCACGGCUAACUACGUGCCAGCAGCCGCGGUAAUACGUAGGUGGCAAGCGUUGUCCGGAAUUACUGGGUGUAAAGGGAGCGUAGGCGGGAAGCCAAGUCAGCUGUGAAAACUACGGGCGUAACCUGUAGACUGCAGUUGAAACUGGCUUUCGUGAGUGAAGUAGAGGUUGGCGGAAUUCCGAGUGUAGCGGUGAAAUGCGUAGAUAUUCGGAGGAACACCGGUGGCGAAGGCGGCCAACUGGGCUUUAACUGACGCUGAGGCUCGAAAGUGUGGGGAGCAAACAGGAUUAGAUACCCCUGUAGUC